UACGGGGGGAGCAAGCGUUGUUCGGAUUUACUGGGCGUAAAGGGCGCGUAGGCGGCCACCGCAAGUCGGUUGUGAAAUCUCCGGGCUUAACCCGGAAAGGUCAACCGAUACUGCGGGGCUAGAGUGCAGAAGGGGCAACUGGAAUUCUCGGUGUAGCGGUGAAAUGCGUAGAUAUCGAGAGGAACACCUGCGGCGAAGGCGGGUUGCUGGGCUGACACUGACGCUGAUGCGCGAAAGCUAGGGGAGCGAACGGG
rnacentral:rRNA from 1 species